AGAUCUUCCUUGGAGGUUGGACCAGUAACAGUGUACAUAUUCCUUGGAAGGAGGUGGAAGCUAAAAUGUUUGCACUUAAUGCGAUAGCUGAAGUUAUUAUCACGGAGGCCCAAGACAUUGAUUUCUCAUUUGUUAUUCACUUGGUGACAAUUUUAUCUAGUAGGCCACAGGAUGAUGCUAAGGGCUUCAUGAGACUUGUAU